AUGGAUGGAGCCAGUAGUGCAAGCGGCGGCGAAGGCUCGGCAGAGCCACAUCCGUCACCGCCACCGCCAGAACGGCGGUACAAGGGCGUCCGGCUGCGGAAAUGGGGCCGGUGGGUGUCGGAGAUCCGCAUGCCCAACAGCCGUGAGAGGAUAUGGCUCGGCUCCUACCCGUCCGCCGAGAAGGCGGCGCGUGCGUUCGACGCGGCAGCCGUCUGCCUCCGCGGCUCCCGCGCCGGGUCUCUCAACUUCCCGGAGUUCCCGCCCGACGUCCAGCACGUCCCUGGCAUGGUGCCUACGGCCGAGUGUAUCCAGGCCGCCGCCACGAGGCACGCGAACCGCGCAUCGCAGGACGUGACGAGCACGAGCAAUGGCAUAGCUGUAGAGUCAUCGCCCUCCGCUGGCAGUGCCGCUGCCUACGACGAUGUGCUUGAUUGGUCGUUUAUGGAUGCCUUACCGUCGGUGCCAGCGUCGUCGGCGCCGGGGACUAAUGUUCCCGCUAUGGAUGAUGUCAUGUUCGGUUUCUCGCCGAUGCCGCCUCCGACGCCGCCAGAAGAGGCGGGCGAGGAUAUGAUCAACGAUGAUGGUGAUGACCAUGCAUUUGUAUCUGACCUCUGGAGGUUCUGA
rnacentral:rRNA from 1 species